GGGCGCAGCAGCGGCCGGCCUUGGGCAGCAAGCAGGCAGCAGGAGGCAGUCGCGGAGCCAAGCCUUGAGGAAGCAGCAGCUCAGGCAGCAGGCCCAGGAGAGUUCGUCAGCAUGCGGGAGUCACUUCGUGAGGAAUCUGAUAGUCCGGAAUCCUCCGUUCUUCUUCACGAGGAAUCUGUUGCCAGAAAACCUCUCCUCAUGCUUUUCGGUUCCUCUUUUUAUCCUCCUUGUUCUCCUGCCUACGUGACAAGGAACGGCCUUGAGCAAGAAUCACUGAGUACCCGCUGAGAUAGCCAUCGUCCUGAGGAACAGGGGAGAAGGAGAAUGAGUGUCCCCCUGGGAGCUUUGGCUUGGCUAGUGUUGGGCAUGAGUGUUGAUCCCACUAAGCAGCAAAAUCCCAUUUACCUGAUACCUGGCAGAUGUUUGCGCAGACCUGGGAGCUGAGCCUGACCUUCAGUCAGUUGCUGGCCCCAUCAGGUCGGGUGAAAGUCACCUUCAAGUCAAAAUAUCCACACAGUGCCAAGCUGGCUGCUAAGCCUGAGUGAAUUUACUGCAUGGUGCUUCCAGCCACUGCUGGACAUACAGAAGAGAACAUGAACAGCCAUUGUCCAUCCGGACAGACGUUCUGUGUGUAAAAAGGUAAUCCUUUUCCCAGGAGAUCCUGAGUAUAUCUGGCUCAUAAACACAUUCCUGCGUCUGCUCGGUUAGAGAGUUAGUCCUGGGUGAUGUGAAUUUCUAUAGUUCAUCAGAUCUGACCCAGCUGUUGGGCUGCAAGGAAACGUUUGCUGUAGACUCCAAGAGAUCAGCAGCAGUCCUGGCAGGUUGUUGAACUUGGGCUCCGUCUUUUGACAGGAAGCCAUCUGAACCUGAUGCAUGACAGGAUGUGGUUUCUCAAGCAGAAUAGCUGCAUUCUUGCAGGAGACGAUGGGCAGAGGGAAUUUUAAUUUUAGCAGUUUAACAUGGAAUCACUCAUGUGCUUAUGCAACUCUUAAGUCAAAAGGGGAUGAGAGCACGGUCAUUCUGCACAACCUUUUGUGGAACUCUAAUAGCUUAAGUUGUCCUUCACAGAGCUGCCUGGCGAGGAGUGUGUGACCAGGGAGAAUUAAGUGUGGAGGAAACCUGCUUGAGACUGACCUGAUCUCAUGCUGCUGCCUAUGGGAAACCGUAGGACUUUUGUACCAUCAAUACAAUCUUUGCUGGGUCUCAAAAGAAUUCAUUCUAGUAGCUUAGCAAUCUAUACAAUGAAUGAUAAAAACAAAAUUCUGUCUGGCAAAAACUGCUGCCAAUGUGCAAAAAUAUCUACCGAAUCCUCAUGCCAUUAAAACCAUCUUGUUGAAGUCAUCUGCUCCAGACAGAAAGAUAUUUUACUGAAUGCUUUGUUCUGUGGUUUUUCUCCUCAGAUUUCUGUGAGAGCACACGUAUCAUGAGGCAUGUCAAAGUUGUCUCAUGGGCAAAACCACGUAAAUAACAAAUGUGUCAGUUUUUUAACAUUUUGUGGAGGGAAAUAGCAAACCAUGUUGCUUUAACUGUUCAGGCAGUUCUCAGAGAUGUGAGAGAAAAGAAGGAUUUUGUAGCAUGUCCAAGCCUGGAGUAGGAGAGGUCUUAGCUGUGCCUGUAGCCCUUCAGAUGACCAUUGUGAGGUCACGAAAAGUGUUUUCUAUGCCUCAGUCUUCAGCUGUGUUUAUAAGACAAUGAUUGUGUAUCUGUUCUGGGCUCUGCUAAUGAAAUCUAUAACACAGGGCCUACACGUUACUUGGCUGACUCCUGAGUUCCAGCCAAGAGCUCAGUGUGUGUACUUCUGUGACAUGCAGACUUGGUUCAUGCUCCUGAAAAGAGUUUACUGCAGCACUUCAGCAUUUGAGGUUUCUCUGUUACACUGGAUCCUCAUCCUUAAUGCAGCUAAUGCAUGGAAGGAGAGCAAACUUUCCUAUUCCUUGCCUUAAUCCCCUGUGCGGUUGCUUAGGGUGAAUCAUUAACCAAGCACCUAAGUAUGGUGAAGCAAAAAUGUUUGUUGAGUGUUUUUGCAGACGGCAUGGAGUGGAGGCCUUCUGCAGGAGGAAUGGCUCUGCUAUCCUACAGGAGCUGCAGCACUACUGCCUGCUCACUCACCCGCUUCCUCCAGCACAGCACCUCUGCUUACACACUGUUGGAUUGAAGUUGCUCCUGCUUUUGGGAUGAGAAAAAGGAACGGUGGAUGUAACCUGGAGAAAGGAUUUAAGAGAUCUUUCUGUUUGCCUUGGGCUGUGAUUUCCUGUGGGCAGCAACGAAGAACAGCAUGAUCUAGAUAAACUCUACUUAACGUGCUUAUUCUGAUGGAGGUGGAUUGGCAUUGUCUUUUUUCCAGGAGUCAAGACUGAAGAAUUACAGAAAUACUGCAGUGUUAUCAAGUGGAUCAUUUAAGUGAACGUGGUAGUGAGGAAAGUAUCAAGAUUACAGACUGGAUUCCUGGAGCAGAUCAGUAGACUUUCAUGGCCAGACAACAGAACAAGCUGACCAAGUCCAUGUAGCCAAUUCUGCAGUCAAAACCAAAGUGCUGGGACUCAGAAGGUUUCGCUUGUUAAUUUAACUGCGAGUAAAUAAAGAAAUGCUGUUGGCCCUAUUAAUCACAGUGUAGGCCUGAGGGAUAACGGCAGAUGACUCAUGGACCAGACACCAGUGACAGCGUGUUACUCUGUGUCUGUUGGCCAAGUGUUACUGACUGAAAUCACUGGCUCUACCUCAGUUCACUGCAGCAAAAUGUCUGGUCUUGUUUGGAUUUGCUUGAGAAAUGACCUUCAUUGUUCUUAUCCACAUUCUCACCUUAUACAAUGUCUGUGUGUGUGCCAGAGUCACCUCCCCUGCAAGGGUGGACAGAUUUAGGGAUGCUCAAAAUGGCACGGCUCAUGCAGGAAAAUUGUAUAUGACUCUAAGGAAUACUGCAAUAAAAAACACAGCACAAGUCCAGAGUGAAUACAUCCAUGAGACACAGUGAUGACGAACUGCUUUUAGAUUGGCACUAAUCAGCUGUUCUGUGACAAGAUGGUUUGAGAGACGUUUGCUUCAGAUCCCGAGGCCUCAUCACUUCUUACUGAUGUAGAAGGUGUUUGGUUUGCUUUCCUGCUUUUGCUUAACUGGCUAGCAAGUGAAUUCAGAGUGAGCAGGUCGGAUCAGGAACAAGAAGGACCUGAAG